UACUGCGUGUGUACCAACGAAGUACACCUGAGCAAGUUCGAUCGACCCGCCUUCAGUAGUAGGUCUCUUUACAGUACGUAUGAGUACCGUGCCACGAGAAGAAGAAGGAAGUACAUAAUAACGCGAGCUCGGGGUGACCAGUGAGUAAGCAGGAGGGGAAAAGGAAGCGUGCAUGCAGAGGAAGGGGGGAGAAGGAAAUGUCCGUGCAUAAGAGGAGGGGAGAAGACGAACAAGGGGAAGGAGGAGGCCGACGUAGGAGCGCUGCGUCGUCAAGCGGGAAGAGGGAGCAAUCGGCGGCGACCCAGAAGGGUGACCUCUACCUCCUCAUCCCCCAAGACGGUCUAGGCUCCGCACACCUGCACCGCCGCUCGCAGAGGUUGUCGCCGCCGCUGGACGUCUGUUUCCCGCCGCCCCUCGCCGCGGAGGUGGAGAGAGGAGGAGUAGAGGAACGCGCGUCACGAAACCCCAAAGACAACCCUGUUCCUCUCCUAGACACUACGCGUGUAGUGAUCCAACGUGGUGAUGGGUUCGCUGCCGAAGCGUCUACUCGACGACCUCUAGCGGUUCCGGUGGACCCCGUUUCUUUGUCACUCCAAGGUAGGAAGGAAGAAGUUUUAAGUAGAGUACAAAAUGGAAGAACUAAAGAGGUUGUAGUGAACACACCUACGGGUAUCUUAAAAGUCAGGUCAACAAAAAGCUGAAUCGUCUUAAUUAUACAACUACCUUCCCCUUCGGUAGUUAAAGCCCCUUUUACGGGUGUCCCUGUUGUGGUAAUCCGUACUAUUGAAUUAGUUAAACAACCUGUUACUUGUACAAAAUUCUUCUUUUCACCUAUAAUUCGAAUUCCUACCGCUAAUAUACAGAUAAAGAUAUGACAGUGCGUCCGAAAGAAACUGGACCUCUUACCGUUGGUCCUCGAGUUCUCACUGUUCCUGCAGAUAUAGUUGUGAAGUUACCCGGCUGCCGCACGCCACCCGACUUACCUUACCUUUCAUGUCUCUACUAUAAGCUUCUAAGUAGUUCUUGUCAAGUAACAACCUUCUUCAUCGACCACGACUUUCCUAGAGGUCCUCGGCUACGUAGAGAAGUAUAAAAACACAUGAUGUUCAUCAACCCCCGGACGAUUUAGAGUCUCUUCCGAGAUAGACGUAGUCCCUUCCGAGAUAGAGUCUCUUCCGAGAUAGAUCGUCGACGACCUUAGGAACAAGAGAUAGAAGGCAAAAAUGUAGAUAUAAAAGUAUAAACUGUGGAGUUUAAAGUUUAUUGAUAUUAAACCAUAAACUGGACGUGCCUAAAAUAACU
rnacentral:rRNA from 1 species